AGAGCGAACGCUGGCGGCAGGCCUAACACAUGCAAGUCGAGCGCCCGUAGCAAUACGGGAGCGGCAGACGGGAUAGUAACACGUGGGAACGCGCCCUUCGGUUCGGAAUAACUCAGGGAAACUUGAGCUAAUACCGAAUACGCCCUUACGGGGAAAGAUUUAUUGCCGAAGGAACGGCCCGCGUCCGAUUAGCUAGUUGGUGUGGUAAUGGCGCACCAAGGCGACGAUCGGUAGCUGGUCUGAGAGGAUGAUCAGCCACAUUGGGACUGAGACACGGCCCAAACUCCUACGGGAGGCAGCAGUGGGGAAUAUUGGACAAUGGGCGAAAGCCUGAUCCAGCCAUGCCGCGUGAGUGAUGAAGGCCUUAGGGUUGUAAAGCUCUUUCACCCACGACGAUAUGACGGUAGUGGGAGAAGAGCCCGGCUAACUUCGUGCCAGCAGCCGAC
rnacentral:rRNA from 1 species